GGCUGCGCGCCUUAACAUGCAAGUCGAACGGCAGCGAGGGGUAGCUUGCUACCUGCCGGUCUGAGCUGGCGAACGGGUGAGUAAUACAUCGGAACCCGCCCUGUAGUGGGGGAUUACUACUCGAAAGACUAGCUAAUACCGCAUACGACCUGAGGGUGAAAGUGGGGGACCGCAAGGCCUCACGCUAUAUGACCGGCCUAUGUCUGAUUACCUCGUUGUUGGUGUAAAGGCCCACCACGGCUACGAUCAGUAACUGGUCUGAAACGACGAUCAACCACGCUGGGACUGACACACAGCCCAGACUCCUACGGGAGGCAGCAGUGGGGAAUUUUGGACAAUGGUGGCAACCCUGAUCCAGCCAUGCCGCGUGUGUGAAGAAGGCCUUCGGGUUGUAAAGCACUUUUGUCCUGAAAGAAAUCGCUUCGGUUAAUACCUGGAGUGUAUGACGGUACCGGAACAAUACCGACCGGCUAACUACCUGCCAACUACCGCGGUAAUACGUAGGGUCCAAGCGUUAAUCGGAAUUACUGGGCAUAUAUCGUGCGCAAGCGGUUGUGCAAUACCUAUGUGAAUUCCCCGGGCUUAACCUGGGAAUUGCAUUGGAGACUGCACGGCUACAGUGUGACUUAGGGACGUAGAAUUCCACUUGAAUUCCUGGAGUGCCUAUAAAUGUCGAAGAGUACCGAUGGAGAACGCAUCCUCAUGGCAACUUUCUGACGCUCAUGCGCCACAGCGUGGGCGAGCACACGGGAUUAGAUACACAGGAAAUCCACGGCCUAAUCCGAUGUCAACUACGAUGUUGGGCGAUUCGUUUACAUUAGUUACCGUACCUUUACGCGCUGAAAGUUGACCGCCCUGAGCGACUACGGGUCGCAAGAAUUAAAGACUCAAAGGCAGUUGACUGCGGGACACGUGCAAGCGGUGCAUGAAUGUGGGAUUGAAUUCUAUGCUUCACGUCAAACCUUAGCUACCCAUUGACAUGCCGGUAUCGACAUCAUAGAUGCAUUCAUGUGCUCGAAAGCAUAUCCUGCACACAGGUGACUGCAUGGGUGGUCGAUCGGCUCGUGUCCGGACAUGGUCGGGUUAAGUUCCGGCUACGAUCCGCAACCUUGUCCCUAGUUGCUACUAAGUGCCAUUCUUUAGAUACGGCCGGUGACGAGCCUGACGAAUGUCGGGAUGAAGGUAAGGUGCUCAUGACCCUUAUGGGUAGGGCUCCUACGUCUGGAUGGGCCCUCGAAGGGUGGCCGGCCCCCGAGGUGAACCACCCCAAAAAAGGUUUCUUUUUCUC
rnacentral:rRNA from 1 species